GGGCCGGUAGCUCAGCUGGUUAGAGCAGCGGACUCAUAAUCCGUAGGUCGAAGGUUCGAGUCCUUCCCGGCCCA
rnacentral:tRNA from 2 species